CUUCCUGCCAGAGGUACUCUCUCUCUCUCAGCGAGGUCUGUCCCACAGGUGUUCUUUCUCCAAAUAUCAUCUUGAAGUCAAUUGGCCUUCCUUGAUAAUAUGUUUCCUGAUUUUCUCGGCGGCAUAUAGUUCAGUGGUUAAAUGUGUGUGUUCAGGAGCCAUUCUCCCUGGCUUUCAACCCUAAUUCAACAACUUACCAGCUGGGUAACUCUAGAGAAGAUGUUUUACAUAUCUGUGCUUCAAUUUC
rnacentral:lncRNA from 1 species